rnacentral:rRNA from 1 species
UGGGCAACCUGCCCCAGACUCAGGGAUAACCCCGGGAAACCGGAGCUAAUACCCGAUACUCCGAUCGAACCACAUGGCUCGAUCGGGAAAGCUCCGACGGUCUGGGAUGGCCCGCGGCCUAUCAGCUUGUUGGUGGGGUAACGGCCUACCAAGGCGACGACGGGUAGCUGGUCUGAGAGGACGACCAGCCACACUGGAACUGAGAUACGGUCCAGACUCCUACGGGAG